UGUUGAAGAGCUGACAGAAUCCCCAAUGGUCUUGAGGCCUUUGUGUAAAGUUUCUCUCAUCUUGCCACAGUCUGUGGAGAAGAUGCUCUGCAAGAUACCUGGAUUUUACGUCAGAGAGUGCUGCUGCCUCUUCAUGGAGAAAGAGGAUGAGUGAAGCAAGGGGCUAGGUCUGUUUGUCUGG